rnacentral:rRNA from 1 species
AUGUCUCGGCUAUCCAGCAUAAGUUUAAUUCCGAACUUCACAGUUGCCAAAGGUUCUAAGUGCCAUAGUUGUGUGCAAUCUAAGCAACCUCGAAAGCCUCAUAAGGCUGCCGAGGAGAGAAACUUGGCACCUCUAGAACUCAUACAUUCUGAUCUUUGUGAGAUGAAUGGUGUGUUGACAAAAGGUGGAAAGAGAUAUUUCAUGACUUUGAUUGAUGAUGCGACUAGAUUUUGCUAUGUUUAUUUGUUGCAAACUAAAGAUGAAGCAUUAGACUACUUUAAAAUCUAUAAAGCUGAAGUUGAAAAUCAACUAGAGAGAAAGAUCAAGCGUCUUAGAGUUCCCAACAAUAAUAAAGAGAAAACCCCUUAUGAGGAGUGGGUUGGGAGAAAACCAUCACUUUCUUAUUUGCGCACUUGGGGAUGUUUGGCAAAGGUCAAUAUUCCUAUUCCUAAGAAACGCAAACUUGGACCAAAGACAGUGGAUUGUGUCUUUCUAGGGUAUGCUCAACGGAGCAUUGCUUAUAGGUUUUUAGUGGUAAAAUCUGAAGUACCUGAUAUGCAUGUUGAUACUAUAAUGGAAUCUCGUGAUGCAACAUUUUUUGAGAACAUAUUUCCUAUGAAAGAUAUGCAUAGCAUUGCUAGAUUUUCUUCUGAGAUAAUUCCUGAAUCUAGUACAACUGAUGAAUAUUUCGAGCAAUCACAUGAGGAAGUCCUUGAGAAGGAUAACAAUGAAGUUCCUAGAAGGAACAAGAGACAAAGGAUUGCAAAAUCCUUUGGUGAUGAUUUCAUUGUAUACCUUGUGGACGACACACCCAAGACGAUUGCAGAAGCAUAUGCAUCUCCGGAUGUAGAUGAUUGGAAAGAAGCUGUUCAUAAUGAGAUGGACUCAAUUCUUUCUAAUGGAACUUGGGAACUAACUGAUAGACCAUAUGGUUGUAAACCUGUGGGCUGUAAGUGGGUGUUCAAAAAGAAGCUGAAGCCUGAUGGUACUAUUGAUAAGUACAAGGCGCGGCUAGUGGCCAAGGGCUACACUCAGAAAGAAGGCGAAGAUUAUUUUGACACCUAUUCACCCGUUGCUAGAAUGACCACCAUUCGAGUGUUACUUUCCUUGGCUGCCUCUUAUGGUCUUAUCAUUCAUCAAAUGGAUGUAAAGACAGCUUUUCUCAAUGGAGAGUUGGAAGAGGAGAUCUAUAUGGAUCAGCCUGACGGGUUUGUGGUAAAGGGUGAAGAGAGAAAGGUGUGCAAGUUGUUAAAAUCUUUGUAUGGUCUGAAACAGGCACCUAAGCAAUGGCAUGAGAAGUUUGAAAGAACUCUGACUUCUGCAGGAUUUGUCAUUAACGAGGCUGAUAGGUGUGUUUACUAUCGCCAUGGUGGGGGCAAUAGUGUCAUAUUAUCUUUGUAUGUGGACGACAUACUGAUCUUUGGUACAAACAUUAAUGCAAUUAAUGAGGUCAAGUCUUUUCUAUCAAAAAGUUUUGACAUGAAAGAUCUGGGAGAAGCCGAUGUAAUUCUAAAUCAAACUUAUUAA